rnacentral:rRNA from 1 species
GACAGAGGGUGCAAACGUUGCUCGGAAUCACUGGGCGUAAAGGGCGUGUAGGCGGGAAUGUAAGUCGGGCGUGAAAUCCCUAGGCUCAACCUAGGAACUGCACUCGAAACUGCGUUUCUUGAGUGCCGGAGAGGAAAGCGGAAUUCCUGGUGUAGAGGUGAAAUUCGUAGAUAUCAGGAGGAACACCUGCGGUGUAGACGGCUUACUGGACCAUAAACUGACGCUGAGGCACGAAAGCGUGGGUAGCAAACAGG